GUGUGCACAUGGCUCGAAUGCUAGCAGCAAUUGCCGCAUCUCUGAAAAUAAUUCUCUUACUAAAGAGCCAGUUUAGUUUUACAACUCUGCGGUUUCCUUGUGUUACUGUCCAGCCAGCAGUACAUGAGCCAGUGGAGACAUAGGCUAUGGCUAUACUAACGAGCUUACAGCCCUGCUAGAGCGCCGACUUAAUUACUCCAGCCCCCACGAGUGGUGAUAGCUAUGCCAGCGAGAGAAGCUAUCCACACCGGCACUUAGGGUGGUAUAACUUACGUCGCUUGGGGGGUGGCUUAUUCACAUCCCUGAACAACAUAACCUAUACGGACGUCAGCUGUAGUGUAUACGUAGCCUAAGGCAUCCCUGAGGUAACUGUUGAUGUCAAUAGAGUUACUCAAGGGAUGACGUUGGUCCAUGACGCCUCGGGUAAAUGAAUGAUUACGCUGUAUCUUUAACAAGAGAAUUCAGAACUUGGAGGCUCAUAUGACUCAUCAGUGGCCAUCUUGGAGCUCUUCCAGGAACACCAAACAGAAAAGAUGUAACUGGAUCUGCUUCUGUGUACAGACUGCAGGCCCUGGGUCCAUAUAAUGGAAAAGUAGCAUUUGCUAUCUGGGGCAGGAGGAAGCCAAUGAAAGCCACAAAGGAGGAGAUCUGAACGUGGACUGUUGUGAACACCUAACUUACAGUCGCUCCACAUGCACCAACCAUCUUGACUUAGUGGCACUUUGUGAGACAGACACCACCACAAGUACUGACCAGCAGUGAUUAGGAGAGGUACUUCCUGAAGCAACUUGACACUACGAUGACAUGUUGGACUCCUUGCCCCAUCACACUUCCGGGGCCAUCAAUACACAAGUUUCACUUUUCCCAGUACUUGGCCAUCUCUAUUCUUUUAGUUUCAUCUCAUUGAUUACGUUCUGUGACCAGCCUGCACGCAGUCAGAACACAUAGCACAGCAGAGAGAGACUGUGUCUGCCACAGCCUCAGGAACAGCAUGCGUAUCAAGAACAACAUGACUCAUGGCACUAAGGCAAUUGGAGAAAAGACAACGCUUCCACUAAUUAAUACCUGGAAACACGUGCUGGU